UUCCAGUUUCCUAAUUCUUCGUGUAAUCGUAUGAGGUGAAGUUUCCUCAUUUGUCCAAUUCUAACAACAGGGGCGAACCGGUGUCCGGCGAAGAGGAAAACUGGAAAAGAGGAGCAGAGAGUCGCGGAGACGAGACUGAGACCGACCACAACGAGGAGGCCCUAAAAAAAAAAAAAAAAAAAAAAAAAGAAUUAUUUCUGGGCCAAAAUUAGGCCCUCUCCGGUGUUGGGCCUAAUUUUGGAUCGAGGGAGAUAGGGAAGAAAGAGAGUAGAAAAUGGAAACGCUUGUGCGAGUGAUCUCUUCAGCGGCUGCUGAGUAGGGAUUGCUCGCUCGGACGGCGUUUGGUGGUGGGGUAGUGGGUUGAUGACCUGCUCGUGUCAGGUAU
rnacentral:lncRNA from 1 species